AAUCAUGUUCGAUAGUGCAUCUCUUUUUUGUCAAUAGUAAAACAAUAAAAAUUUCUUCCAAACUCUAUUAUGCCUGUUUUCUUACAACCAUCAUCUCUUUCUCGUCAAUGCAUCAAAUCUUCGUUUCAACAUCUCCUUUUCUUUUUAUGAUUUGUUCACUUUUUAUGGUUCAGUUGAAUCGCCAUUCUUCGGCCCCCUUCCCUUCUUCUGUUAGGGUUUCUUUAGAAAGAACAAAUUGAACGUAGCUGAUAAGUUUUUGGGGCUCUUGUUGGGAGGCUCAUCUUGGGUCGUCAUAAAGGUUUUGAUAGGUGUAUGCCAUUGCUGAUUGUUCGUGCUCACCACCGGUCAACUGCAUAAAAUAAGUGCAACAUUGCAUAAGCUUUUUUCCCUUUUUUUUACCAUAAGUUCUUUUUUUUGCUUUGUUUCCUUUGGUGGCAUUGUAUGUUUGUAUUUUCUUGUUUACUUCUUGAUUGCCAACUUAAGGUUUCUAUUUUACAGUUUAAAAUUUCUUUGCAUGACUCUAUUGGGGCUUAGAAUAUGUUUUAGAAACAUAUGUACAAUAUAUGUUGCAUAGAGUUGAGCUUAGGAUGAAAGCAAACAUGAAUGCCAUUCCAUAUACAGAAAGUGUGCAACAUCUCAAAUAAUAAUUAUUAAUUAUUAAUUUUUUUAUCAAUAAGUUUUCAAUUUCUUUCUUUACUUGAGAACUUCUAUAUUAAGAGUUGUAUACUUUACAGAUGCAAGGAUCAAAACCUAGAUCUGAUAAAAGAAAAAGCUCAUUCAAACCAUUCCAUUUGCACACCCCAGAUUUCAGAGUUCAAAAAGACAAAAAAGUACGUCUGGGUUAGUACCACAGUCUGUCCCCAUCAUUUAACAGUCUUUUCAAAAACUGUUAAAAGCUACUCUUCCUAUUUUUUAUCUUCUGAUUUAGUAGUUGCUUCAGCCUGGGGUAUACAUCCUUUUUUCUUCAAGGAGAACUGGGGGACAAACCGACAAAGACAUAUAAAAGUGACCCAACCCAGGAUCAUCAUAUAGGAAUCCUAAAGGCAGACUAGGCGCAACCAGUUGGAUGAUUCGGCCAGUGGGGAGAUUGCAUUGAACUCUCACUCAGGCACAACAGUUGAAUGCUGCCAGCUAAUAACCCACCCACCUUAGUCCAGCAAACAAAUUCCUCCACCGCAACACUUGAGGAAUCUUUACUGCAAACCUGAAUUUCAAACCAAAAAUUACGGCUAGUGGGGAGAUCUCAUGAACUAAAACUUAAAUAAUCUAAUGACCCUACUCAACUGCAAACCUGAAUUUCGAAAUAGAAAAAAAAAGGCUCCUCUUAGUUUUAUAAACCUCAAUUUUUACUGUAGUCCACAAUAGAAAGAUAUUACCGCGGGGGGGGGCUCACCUUUUUACUUUGAUAUCAGAACUUCUGAUGUUUUGGUGUGAAACUCAAAUCUGAUUAUAGUAUGGGGAAGCCCAGCCAUGCAGGAAUAUAAGCAGACAUUUAUAAAUUCUUUUUAAGUGUUCUUGGAUAACCAUCACUGAAGAGAUCUAUUGAAUGGUAUUUGUGAGUAAUUGAAUGCUAUUAACUUGUCAAGCCCAAAGUUUGAAAGAUAAAAAUGCUACCAGCUAUGUACUUAUAUGGUAACAGAAAAAUAUUAAUUGAUUAUAACACCAAAAAAUAAUAUGUUUAGAUUUGGGGAGAAUUGGGUUCAGCUGCAUAUGACAUAAUAAUUGAUGUUUCUAAAAUGCUAUAGUUUGUGGUUUAGUUCAUAGAAGUGAAAAUUUGGAAAAUAAUACUAGAUCACAACUUCACAAGUGUGAGACCCAUUGUGAGUAAAAAAUUGUGAGAUUCAAACACCUAUAAUAGAACUCAAGUUUGAAUCGAGAGGGUGGAGAAAGAAGAAAAAAAUAUUUGAUUGAGUUGUAAGUUUCACUUUGAGUAUAAAACCAUGAAUUCCAAAAUACUCUUUUUUAUUAUGACUACAAACUUUAGGUACAUGCAUAUGUAUCUACAUUGAAGUUUUUCCAUUAGCAUUAUCAGUCAUCUGUUUUGGAAUUCUUCUUUUUAUUAGAUGGGAGAUGUUUGUUGUUAUCUUUAGCAGUCUGUUGUAUCUUUCUUUUGGAGUGACCUACCCAAAUUAUAUGAGUGUAAACCAGUACUGACAAAAAAUUUGGCAAAUCAAUUAAAAUUAGUUUCUUUUUAAUCAAUUAUAGAUGAUUCCUUACUCCUCACAUUAAGUUGCAUCACGGUGUCAGUUACCUUUGGCUAUGAAAUCAGUAGAAGGAUUACAGAAAAAGAUCCAACAGUAUUUCUGAAUUCUCUCAAUGAUUUAUGUCACUACUUAAAUCAAAGGAAAGUUGUGUACAGAGUCAAACCAACAUCUUGUCUUGAUCAUCACCAAAAGAUGGUGGACAUGUCAAUUAUUCUGCAUGGAGAGAACACCAUAAAUUAGUCUAAAUAUCUCCCUAGUUCAUAACUCAAUUGUAUCCUAAUUUGGAAAAUCAACAACUUUGACAGGAAAGGAAGGGAAAGGUAGGGAAAUCUUUAUAAACCUUGUAAAGGUUUUCCUACCUUUCCCUUCCUUUCCCUACCUUUUCCUUCAAACAAAACACAGCAUUAAUUCCUCCAAAGUGAAUAGAUCAUGGAGCAGUAGCCAUGAAUCAAGAGAGCAUAAAAGGUUAGGUUGGUAUCUAGUUCACUCUUCCCAAGGUCCUGGAUGACCAGGACCAACAUUGGAUAAUGGUGCUUUUUGGUUUUUAAAAAUUUAGGGCAUGCUGUACAAUACAUAUUAUGUAUUACAAAUUGAGUAGUUUAUUUUAAUGUUACUAAGACCAACAUGCAUCAGAUGUGGUAUAGUUUAUUUUAUUUUAAUUCUAAGGAAUAGUUCAUCUUUUUAAUCAUCAUUGUUGUUCUUAAUGUUAUUUGGAUUUUGUUUAGUUAUGCAUUUCAUACAAUGUAAAUUGUUUUCUCUUCAGAGAUAUCUGGUGGAAUUAAUAUGCAGCUUCUUUGUUGCAUCAUGGACCGGGGUUGUCAAAUGUCAUGGGCCACGGCCCAGCAUGCGACCCAAGCAGGUUUUUGUGGCCAAUUAUACUUCCAUGAUAGAUUUUAUUGUUUUAGAACAGAUGACUGCAUUUGCUGUAAUUAUGCAGAAGCAUCCUAGAUGGGUUGUUUUCUUUGCCACAUGGUUCAGCCUUGGAGGGCUAGAUUUUGUGCUUGAAGGUUGCCACCCACUAAGGGGAAAGAAGAAAGAAAACAAAACGUGCCAAUGUUUUUGUGCAAUGAUGCUUCCGAAGUCCAAAAUUUCUGGGUUCUGCAUUGUGAUUUUGGAGCUCGUGUCAAAUUUGAUGACUUGUGAAAUUGCAGGAGGCUAGUGAAUUUCCACUUCUGAAAUCCAUCAACCCCAAAGACAGCCUUAAUGUCCAUCCUAGAAUGAAAACGACAAGAAGUUUGUAGAGCUGAAAGAAGUGAAAUGGGUAACAUAAUACAUGGUGAAUAAUGCCCAGGUCAAUACAAGGUUUCCCGCCAAAUUAGAUUACCAAAAUCUUUGGUCCAGAUAACGAGCGGUCAAGUCUCAAGUACACGAAAUUUUAGGAAAUUUAUUCUUGUUUGGAAGGCAGGACUCUUACUCGUUCCAAUAAGCUUCCUUCCCUCGUUUACUCCGGAGAAAUUAUACCAGUAACCACCGCCUCUACAAAUUCUCAGUUCCUGUCAUCCUGCUUCUUGCUUUACUUCUUCCAAUUUCUAUUACCGUUCAGUCUGCACCUCCACUUCUUCAAGACAGAGAUGGUGAAGAUGAGUGAAAAUAGCUCAUGUCAAGACAUGAAGCCUUACUUCUUCAUGAUUAAGCCAUCGGGACUCCCCACCCAAUAAUUGGGACUGUCAAUCUUUAAUCUUUCGGAUUCAUCCAAAUUUUACGAGGCACAUUUCAAAAAAAGCAGUUGGAAGAGCAAUCCUAGUGGAUCGUAGUGGUUAGCGUUGGUUCGUCAAAUUAAGAUAGACUUCAAGUGGCAUAUAUUUGGUAGGAUUUUUUUAGUAGAUGUAUAUUGGAUGAUGAAUUUUUACUAUUUCGAUAUAAUGGAAAUCUAAUAUUCAAUGUAAAGAUUUUUGGUAAGAAUGGAUGUGAGAGAGAUGCCAGUACAUUUACUCUUAAGACAGACAAAGUCUUUACAUUCUCAAAUAGAAGAGAGAGAGGAGCUAGCCCAUCAAGAAAUUUUUUGUUAAUUGUAUU